ACUGGACUGCGAUUGAGACGCUCGACGAUGGCGACAAUUCACAUGUGUGCGGGCUCGGCCGUCGGCCUCCAUCCAGCUGCGAGAGAGCCGAGUUCGGUCGUCUUCCUCCGACCGCAGCUCUGUCAUUCUCACGCGCUGGUUGCAGCCAGGUCGUGGGUCCAUCGCGUCUGCUGGAGGUCUGCCGAGCUUUGUUAUGCAUGGGGGAAUGGAAGCCGGCGCAAGGAGGACCUCUCGCCGGAUCGAUUGCAAAGCGACGGUCAGACAGAUGUCUCGCCUUCAAAAAGAAGACUCAGCAUCAUCCGAUGGAAGGGCGCCUGGACCAAGGACGUGAUCGGAUGUGGUCGGGUCGUGACAGGUGUUGGUCCAAUGUUUUGUGUUGUGUCUUAUUGCUUAGAACACUAUGCCUGGGAAAAACCCUCCUAUUUUCAAAUAAAUGCAGGAGCGACGGGGGAGAUUGUUUAGAGCGUGUUGAGAGGCUGUGAUCUGAACAAUCUCCCAUACGCCCUCCUCAUGA